AAGCAAGCAGGCAGAACCACUCUGCUUUAGAAUACAUUAGCAUGGGAUAUGGCCUAGGACCCUNUCCUCCUAUUUUCAGUUGGUUUUGGCAGCGCGAGGACUAGGGUAAUGAUUAAUAGGGAUAGUUGGGGGCAUAAUAUUAAUUGUCAGAGGUGAAAUUCUUGGAUUUAUGAAACGAUUAACUAUCUGCGAAAGCAUCUGCCAAGGAUGUUUUCAUCUCAAUCAAGAACGAACAGUUCAAGGGGAUCGAAGACGAUCAGAUACCGUCAGUAGUCUUAAACAUAAACGAUGCCGAACCAAAGCAGACACUUCAAGCGAAGAANCGGUUGGAAAAUCACAAAAAAAACAACACAACACNAGUACCAGAGCCAGACAGNGAUCAGNACACUUUGAGANAGUUAUGGNACCCACAUUUNCCAAACAGAGAGAGAGCAAGAGCACGCCNAAGGGGAACAGGAAGAAAGCACCA
rnacentral:rRNA from 1 species